GAUGAACGCUGGCGGCGUGCCUAAUACAUGCAAGUAGAACGCUGAAGGAGGAGCUUGCUCUUCUGGAUGAGUUGCGAACGGGUGAGUAACGCGUAGGUAACCUGCCUGGUAGCGGGGGAUAACUAUUGGAAACGAUAGCUAAUACCGCAUGACAACAGUUAUUGCAUGAUAACUGUUUAAAAGGGGCAACUGCUCCACUACCAGAUGGACCUGCGUUGUAUUAGCUAGUUGGUGAGGUAACGGCUCACCAAGGCGACGAUACAUAGCCGACCUGAGAGGGGGAUCGGCCACACUGGGACUGAGACACGGCCCAGACUCCUACGGGAGGCAGCAGUAGGGAAUCUUCGGCGAUGGACGGAAGUCUGACCGAGCAACGCCGCGUGAGUGAAGAAGGUUUUCGGAUCGUAAAGCUCUGUUGUAAGAGAAGAACGAGUGUGAGAGUGGAAAGUUCACACUGUGACGGUAUCUUACCAGAAAGGGACGGCUAACUACGUG
rnacentral:rRNA from 1 species